UGAUUCUAUGCAUAGUGGUGCAUGGCCGUUCUUAGUCGGUGGAGUGAUCUGUCUGGUUAAUUCCGAUAACGGACGAGACCCCUACCAUCUAACUAGUUGUCGCUAGUCUACUAGCGUCCGCUUGCGGGCUCAACUUCUUAGAGGGACAAACUGCGUCCAGCAGUGGGAAGUCUGGGGCCAUAACAGGUCAGUGAUGCCCUUAUAAGGUCUGGGCUGCACGCGCACUACAAUGGCGCAUGCAACGAGCAUAACCUGGCCUGAGAAGGUCGGGUAAUCUGCAACGUGCGUCCAAGUUGGGAUCGAUGAUUGCAAUUAUUCAUCUUGAACA
rnacentral:rRNA from 1 species